rnacentral:rRNA from 1 species
UACGUAGGGGGCAAGCGUUGUCCGGAAUUACUGGGCGUAAAGAGCGCGCAGGCGGUCGUUCAAGUCGCGUGUGAAAGCCCCCGGCUCAACUGGGGAGGGUCACGCGAUACUGAUCGACUCGAAGGCAGGAGAGGGAAGUGGAAUUCCCGGUGUAGUGGUGAAAUGCGUAGAUAUCAAGUGGAACACCAGUGGCGAAGGCGAGUCCCUGGACAACACCUGACACUGAGGCACGAAAGCUAGGGGAGCAAACAGG